rnacentral:rRNA from 1 species
CCUACGGGAGGCAGCAGUGGGGAAUUUUGGACAAUGGGCGAAAGCCUGAUCCAGCCAUGCCGCGUGCAGGAUGAAGGCCUUCGGGUUGUAAACUGCUUUUGUACGGAACGAAAAGCCUCUUUCUAAUAAAGAGGGGUCAUGACGGUACCGUAAGAAUAAGCACCGGCUAACUACGUGCCAGCAGCCGCGGUAAUACGUAGGGUGCGAGCGUUAAUCGGAAUUACUGGGCGUAAAGCGUGCGCAGGCGGUUAUAUAAGACAGUUGUGAAAUCCCCGGGCUCAACCUGGGAACUGCAUCUGUGACUGUAUAGCUAGAGUACGGUAGAGGGGGAUGGAAUUCCGCGUGUAGCAGUGAAAUGCGUAGAUAUGCGGAGGAACACCGAUGGCGAAGGCAAUCCCCUGGACCUGUACUGACGCUCAUGCACGAAAGCGUGGGGAGCAAACAGGAUUAGAUACCCUGGUAGUCCACGCCCUAAACGAUGUCAACUGGUUGUUGGGAAUUCACUUUCUCAGUAACGAAGCUAACGCGUGAAGUUGACCGCCUGGGGAAGUACGGCCGCAAGGUUGAAACCGUUAGAAGUAGUAGCGNGNGAGNGCGACGACGACGACGAGGAGGAGG